UUAGGACCCAUGUAUGGUCAGUUUAUGACGCAACUAGAAAUAAGAGUUACAAAAAAUUUGGUAGGAUCAAAUUUGGCAACCCUUUGUAGAAGUGGGAAGAGUUUCUGGAAAAUCUCUAGAAAGUAACAUCAGUCGGCGUGUAUUAGGAAAUGAUAAUCCAGAAGUUGUUGAAGACCCAAAUAGAUCACCUGAACAUGUUUUCUUAUCACGGUUGUGUCGUUUGGCAGGAUUAUACAUGAGUACACAAUUUCGAAAUCCAUGCAUACAAGAA